rnacentral:SRP_RNA from 1 species
GGCCUUGUACGGCGUCAUGCCACGAACCAUGUCAGGACCGGAAGGUAGCAGCAUUAAGUGGAAUUUGGCGCGCGUCGCAAGU